AUUGAACGCUGGCGGCAGGCCUAACACAUGCAAGUCGAACGAGUGGCGGACGGGUGAGUAAUGUCUGGGAGACUGCCCGAUGGAGGGGGAUAACUACAGGAAACGGUAGCUACUACCGCAUACCAUUGAGCGUGCCCAGAUGGGAUUAGCUUGUAGGGGAGGUACCGGCCCACCAAGGCGACGAUCCCUAGCUGGUCUGAGAGGAUGACCAGCCACACUGGAACUGAGACACGGUCCAGACUCCGACGGGAGGCAGCAGUGGGGAAGAUUGGACAAUGGGCGAAAGCCUGAUGCAGCCAUGCCGCGUGUGUGAAGAAGGCCUUCGGGUUGUAAAGUACUUUCAGCGGGGAGGCGUUACCCGCAGAAUAAGCACCGGCUAACUCCGUGCCAGCCGCCGCGGUAAUAC
rnacentral:rRNA from 1 species